rnacentral:rRNA from 1 species
UUAGGAAUCUUGCGCAAUGGGCGAAAGCCUGACGCAGCGAUGCCGCGUGCGGGAUGAAGGCCUUCGGGUCGUAAACCGCUUUCAGCAGGGACGAUAAUGACGGUACCUGCAGAAGAAGCCCCGGCCAACUACGUGCCAGCAGCCGCGGUAAUACGUAGGGGGCGAGCGUUGUCCGGAUUUAUUGGGCGUAAAGAGCUCGUAGGCGGUUUGGUAAGUCGGGUGUGAAAUCUCCACGCUCAACGUGGAGGGGCCACUCGAUACUGCCAUGACUCGAGUCCGGUAGAGGAGUGUGGAAUUCCCGGUGUAGCGGUGAAAUGCGCAGAUAUCGGGAGGAACACCCGUAGCGAAGGCGGCACUCUGGGCCGGAACUGACGCUGAGGAGCGAAAGCGUGGGGAGCAAACA